rnacentral:rRNA from 1 species
CGCCUCCUCUCCUCGCCGGCCCUCUCCGCGGCCUGCCUCCUCUUCGGCCUCGCCGGGUUCCUCGCCGCCGCGGUCUCCCUCUCCCGGGCGCCCGCCGAGGCCCCGCGGGGCCGCUGCCCGGACUCCUCGCACCCGCUCUCCGUCUCCGUCUCCUGGGACCGGCGCCCCGGGGAUGCCGCGGGCGGCGCCACCGACCUCCCGGUGGGCCUCGCCACCGGAUCGCGCGGCAGGCACAAGGUCAUGGCCUUCGUCGGGAUCUUCACCGGGUUCGGCUCCGUCGGCCGCCGCCGCGCGCUCAGGCGGACGUGGCUCCCCUCCGAUCGGCAGGGUCUCCUUCGGUUAGUUGUCGCUGGUACCACAGCUUCCUGGUUCAUGUUCGCUUGUGUUGCUCGAGAUCUAGCUUUAGUCCUGAACUGUUGA